AUGUGCCCAAGAAUUGUCCAAAAGCUCCUGGAGCUGUCAGGCUUGGGACUGUGACAAUCCCUGGGGAGCCUGUUCAGUGCCUCUGGGGGAAGAACCUUUUCCUAAUAUCCACCCUAACCCUCCCCUGACACAGCUUCAGCCAUUCCCUCGGAUCCUGUCCUUGGUCACCACAGAGCAGAGAUCAGGGCCUCUGCUUCAUGAGGAAGCUGCAGAACUGCUGUGAGCUCUGACUUCACUCUGCUAUUCUACAGCUAAACAGACCAAGUGCCCUCAGCUGCUCCGUGUGUGCGGCUUCACCUCAAGGUCCCUCACCACUCUCUUGCAGCAUAAUCUCCUUCCUACGUUGCAGUGACCAAAACUACACCCAAUCAUCAAGCCUCUUUGUCCCACACAGAAGAAGAGAAUUCAACUUACAUGUUAAAAGGAGGCACUUUCUCCUACUGGUAGUCCUGAAAACACUUCUGGAACUCUUGCUGCCAAGAGAUGAUGUGGAAUCUUCCUCACUAGAGAGAUUCCAGAACCAUCUGGAUGCAAGCCUGUGCCAUGUGCUCUGGGAUGGUCCUGCCUGAGCAGGAGGUGGGACCAGAUAACCCAUUGUGGCCCCUUCCAGCCUGACCCAUUCUGAUAUUCUGUGAAGAGAAGGGGGUUUUUUCCACAUUUCAGGCUGCUUUAUUGCUACAGAGUCUGCUCUUGCUGGCUUAUGACUGUUUUUGGUGGAGGUACUCAUAUUCCAGGUUUUGCAGCUGGAACCUAGGGCCCAGCCUCAAGCUUUGCUGGAAGCUGUGAUAUCCAUACCACAGAAAUGCUGAUCUGGGUCACUACUCACAGGUUCCAAACCUGAAACCAAUGCACUGAACCCAACCACACCUAUAAGUAUUAGGCUCAUGCAGAGGGGCUGCUGCUCCCACCUGGAUGGGCUCUUUUGCAAACAACAUCAUAUGUAAGGAAGGCUGUGGGCCUGCCUGCCACUCACAGGAGGGCUGGAGCCUUGGCAACCUUCUAUGGUGAGAACAGAAUCCACUUCAGCAUCUGUUGGCUCAUCUGGCUUUGUGCUGCAGGUAUUAAUUCAAAUACACUUGGAGAGACAAUUUUCUGUUGAGGAAGAAGGUGCCAUACCUACAUGGCUCUUUUCCUGACAUUAUUCCCUAGAAAUUGCACUGUUGUGAGAGUGCCUUGGUCUCAUCCUUAUAAAACACCUUUCAAAAAGCCAAGUAAAAAACCCAAACAACCAACCAACAAGGCUUUAUGGAGGCAGUAGAAACAACUCUCCUUGGUCCCUAUGACCCAGUAGAGCUGCCUGGGAUCAAAUUCCCUGCUUGCUGAAAUAUAAGGGAAUCUUUUCUCGCCUGUCCCAGGCAUCACCUGCAUCCUCUGGGGUGCCGGGAGGGCCAUGCAGGGCGGGGAACGUUUGCAGCGGUGGCAGCAGCAGGUGCACUGCCACUGGGUGCCCGUGAGUUCAGCGAGGCAGAACAGCCUGUCCCAGGCAGGGCAGCUCCUGUAGCCUGCGGCAGCGCCGUCAUCGAGGCUGCCCUGAAUUUAGUGCUUGUGACAGACUGACAGCCCUGCAGGCUGAAAGGCUGGAGCCGCGGGAAGGAUGCAGAGAGCGGAGCAGCUCAGCUCUGCUCACAUCCAGCCCACACGUGUCCAGGCCUCACGCAGCUGCUGCUGGCAGCAGGUGAGCCACAGGCUUGUCUCUGCUGCUUCCCAGCGAGCUGCUCUGAGCCUGCAGGAGAACCAGAGACAGUCAAUAGAGAUUCAGACUUUCCUGAGUGAAACUGGCUUUAAAACAUCCAAGGCUUUUUUCACAGAGAAAAUUCAGCAUUUUUGUUACUUUCUUUCUCUGAGGUUGUACCUUCAUGUUCAUUUCUGCAACUAGAAGGCAGGAAACUUCUCAAAGAAGGCUGGCAUCACAUGAUUCCAGGAGCUGAAGUUUGAAGGGAAAAGGAAAUGUGUUGCAAGACCCAGGCUACAAGGCAGGCCAGGAAUUAAGAGGUGCUGAAACACACCAUGUGCACAGUCCCCAGACUUGCUGGAUGUCAGACAUUCAGUCUGCCCCUACUAAAGUGAAAAUUAAACAAACAAGGCCCAAACCACAAACUCGGGACCUACUCCAAGGCCCACUGUGCUCCAGAAAAGGAAUCAUAUGGCAGGUCAGGCCUUUCUCAAACAGGGCUGAUAGUCAAGAUCUGUAACUGUAACACUCCCAAAUAUAAAAAUAUCUUGUCCUUCUGUUGAAGGUACAUUAUAUUGCCUUCCAUUGGCUUAACAAUCCCAACCAUCUUGAUUUAACACACUUUAUUGGCGCUGUCAUGCCACUAUGAUAUACUGGAUUAUAAAAUCUGUUUUCAGCAUUUAUUGCUUAAGAAAUCUAGCUUGCAUCACUUAUCUUGUGGUUUAUGGGACAACAGAAUAUGGAUUCAAGUGUAAACGGUAAAUGUAGCACCCAGUCCUGCACUCUCAGUGUUUCCCUAAGGGAAUGGGCAUUUAAAGGUGGGAAGCUCUUGUCCCAUGUUCUGUGAUUGUUUUUAACCUCAAGAAAAUUCAAGACAUACAAUUGAUUUAGACUCCAAAGGGAUCUGAGGAAGCCUGAAAUUUAAUAAUUAAGGCUGACACUAGGGUCCCUCCUUGUCAUUUGCCUUUUGCCUCCAGCAGCAGUGGGUUAUCAGCCUCAAUUACAAACCUUUUUCCCAUGUUUGCUUUCGUUAGGCAUUGGGAUUAUCAGAAAACACAUAAUUUGUCUUUAUGUUUUAUAUCAUAAAAUGUAAUAGAUUUCACUGUAAUAGAUUUCACAGUUGAUGCUGCAACUUGGCAUGAAGUCAUUUGGCACUUUUAAUUCAAGGGCUAAUAAAAACAAGCCUUCCUGUUACUGUACCUGGUGAAUACUGAAAUUUAUAAAGCCUUCUAAGGAUCUGGGUUUAUAGCCCAUGAAACCUGAAUGGAUUCAUAUUCUCAAAGGAAGAAAAUCUGAAGGAGACCUAAAGCCUUGCUGACGUUCAGGUUUUAAGCUGAGCUCUUCAUGAUGGGCACAGGUUUUUAUGAAGUGCUUGUGGCUCCAGCCUUUUUGUUGGGGCAGUGAUCUGGCGGGAAGAGCUUUGCACUCAGUUAGGCCGAUUGCCCAGCUGGCAGGAGGACUUGGAAUACACAAGCAUCUUCAUCCCAGACUAAAUGCUGGCCUAACAAGUGUUAAGCUGUUCAAGUAUGCAGGUCAAAGUUACCAAACGGAAGGGCUGAGCCCAGCUCACUUUCAUUCCUGUGAAAACACAGUAAGCAGAACCAGAUCUAAAGACAGAUGGAGGCAGACACAAACUUUUUCCCAUUUCCCUACCUAGUAAUUUACUUUGUCAGGAAAAGUGGUGCACUGUGGCAGCCUUUGGUCCAUUAUUUAUGGAAAAAAAAAUGUGUCCAUUGGUAUUUAGAUAGUCUGCCUGUAUCUCUAAUUGGAAUUAAAUUUACUACAGCUUGCAUGUGAA